GAAGGAGGAAAGGGAGGAGGAGUUGGAGAAAGAGGAGGAGAAGAAAAAGAAUCAAGAUGAGGAGGAGGAAGAAGAGAAGAAAAGAGAGAAGAGAAGAAAGAGUGGGAAUAAUGAAGAAGGGGAGGUGGAAAGAGGGAGAACAAAUGGGGAGGAUGAAAAAAAGAAUAUGGGAUGGUGAGGGAACAGGAGAGAGAAAGGACUCUGGGAGGGAAGAAAAGGGAAGAAAAUCAAGGAGAGGAUGGGAAGGAUUCUAGGAGGAGUGGAAAGGGGAGGGAAGAAGAGAGCAGGGGGAGGAGCCUGACUAAAAGGGCCAACUCUCUUGGCUAUCUGGUCCAGUCUCCUUGUUUCUCUAUAAAAACCCUGGGACAGAAACACAACUGCAUGACAGACCUUGGCUCAUUUUUGACCUGACACGUGGCCAAGCAGACAGACAGAAAGGCAGCUGGAUAGCAGAGGAUGAGCUUGUUCCUAAAGCUGCUGGUCCUCACAGUGGCCCAGUCAGUGGUACGACAAAAAGGAAAUGAAGAUCCAUCGUUGUGGAAGUGGGGCUGCCUAGGUAGUAGUCAAUCCCCAAUUAACAUUGUCACCCAAAAUGCCAUUUACAGAAGGAGAGAUAGUUUCCGGUUCAGUGGCUAUGACAAACAGGACAAUUGGGUUAUUAAAAACAAUGGCCACACAGGUGAGUCAUUUCUCAGUGGUUUGGGGGAGGGACCAAACGGAGAGCA
rnacentral:lncRNA from 1 species